rnacentral:rRNA from 1 species
CCCAGACUCCUACGGGAGGCAGCAGUGGGGAAUAUUGGGCAAUGGGCGCAAGCCUGACCCAGCAAUGCCGCGUGAAGGAAGAAGGCUUUCGGGUUGUAAACUUCUUUGACAGGGGAAGAGCAGAAGACGGUACCCUGAAAACAAGCCACGGCUAACUACGUGCCAGCAGCCGCGGUAAUACGUAGGUGGCAAGCGUUGUCCGGAUUUACUGGGUGUAAAGGGCGUGUAGCCGGGCUGACAAGUCAGAUGUGAAAUUCCGGGGCUCAACCCCGGACCUGCAUUUGAAACUGUUGGUCUUGAGUAUCGGAGAGGCGGGCGGAAUUCCUAGUGUAGCGGUGAAAUGCGUAGAUAUUAGGAGGAACACCAGUGGCGAAGGCGGCCUGCUGGACGACAACUGACGGUGAGGCGCGAAAGCGUGGGGAGCAAACAGGAUUAGAUACCCGUGUA